UACUUUUUGAAUAUGUCCCAAUGAUGUGGUUUGACCAAUCUAAGUUUCUGCAAGUUCUCCAAGUCCAAGUUUCUUUAUCUCGUACUCGCAGUACUUGGGUGGCUGAAUUAGCAUUUGAGUGUAAAUUUGUGCACGCAAACAGAAUAGAUGAAAAAAGUAGAAAACUUAUGUUUGAUACAGCUUUUAAGCAUCAAUUUGAUAUUAAGCACAGGGCAAGAUAUGGGCAGUUAAUAUUUUCUUUAACAAUUCUCACCCUUAUGAUAAUUUUAUUAUCACACAUAUUUAUUACCUUGCGUUUCUCGUUUGACUAACAGCCUGCCUAACAGCCUGCCUAGUGACCCCCUAGACAGCCCCUUUAUCACGGACUACACACAGGGCCGGAUUAAGAGCACAGUGGGCCUGGUGCUGACAAUUAUGAUGGGCCUAAUUACGGAAUCUUAUCGACCAAAAACACUAAAACAAUCAUACCUCCAAAGCUUCAUGUAUCUGAUGGAGAUGGUGCUGGAG